rnacentral:rRNA from 1 species
CCCCUAGAUGUUCUGGGCCGCACGCGCGCUACACUGACCAGUGCAACAAGCAUCCGUCCUUGGCCGACAGGCUCGGGCAAUCUUUGAACGCUGGUCGUGAUGGGGAUAGACUUUUGCAAUUUUUGGUCUUCAACGAGGAAUUCCUAGUAAACGCAAGUCAUCAACUUGCGUUGAUUACGUCCCUGCCCUUUGUACACACCGCCCGUCGCACCUACCGAUUGAAUGGUCCGGUGAAGCCUCCGGAUUGGCGCGCACCUCGGUGCCGCCGAGAAGUUGGCUAAACCUUACCAUUUAGAGGAAGGUGAAGUCGUAACA